rnacentral:rRNA from 1 species
UACGAAGGGGGGCUAGCGUUGCUCGGAAUCACUGGGUCGUAAAGCGCACGUAGGCGGGUCUUUAAGUCGGGGGUGAAAUCCUGGAGCUCAACUCCAGAACUGCCUUCGAUACUGAGGAUCUCGAGUCCGGGAGAGGUGAGUGGAACUCCGAGUGUAGAGGUGAAAUUCGUAGAUAUUCGGAAGAACACCAAGUGGCCGAAGGGCGGCUCACUGGCCCGGUACUGACGCUGAGGUGCGAAAGCGUGGGGAGCAACAGG